rnacentral:lncRNA from 1 species
CGUAAGCAGAGGAACGCAGAACCUUCUCACACAGCGGGAUGAAAGGGGGAAUUUGGAGCUGACAAAAUGGCUUUGAUAUCGGGAUACAGGCUUCUCCACUUCAAACGAGUCAACCAACUCCACCUGAAGAACUUCAUACAGUUGGCUACGUGUUUACAAAUGAUGGGCAGCAAACAAGGAGUGAUGAAGUAAAUCAGGUUGCAACAGGGCAUCAAAGCAAACAGAAACGUUCCAGAAAAUCCAAGAGACACUCUUCAUCUAAGAGAAGGAAGAGUAUGUCGCGGUGGUUAAACAAACAGGAAGGUGAGGGGGAAUCCAAUCUUUGGGGCUCAACCAUGUCAAAGGACAUUUGUAGUCAUGUCCUUGAGGGAUGAACAGAUAUGAGCACAUUUGCAAGUGGAAGGGUAAGGUUCUAAUUAGGUGCAACAAUUUGGAGUUGCUGCAAGCAUUAGAUGAAUGAAGCAGGUUCCUGAGGCAGAAGGAGAUGGUGGGCUCAACAAGAGGAUGGGUCUGCUCACUUUCUGCCUGUCCUCACAUUCCGCUCUAACCCACUGCAGUCUGGCUUCUUCUUAGUGUAUUCCAAUGAAACUACUAUCAUCAAGGUCA